rnacentral:rRNA from 1 species
UUGGACCUACGGGAGGCAGCAGUGAGGAAUAUUGGUCAAUGGGCUUACGCCUGAACCAGCCAAGUCGCGUGAGGGAAGACUGCCCUAUGGGUUGUAAGCCUCUUUUGUCAGGGAGCAACGCCGGCUACGUGUAGCCGGACUGAGAGUACCUGAAGAAAAAGCAUCGGCUAACUCCGUGCCAGCAGCCGCGGUAAUACGGAGGAUGCGAGCGUUAUCCGGAUUUAUUGGGUUUAAAGGGUGCGUAGGAGGAAUGCCAAGUCAGCGGUAAAAUCGCGGUGCUCAACCUCGCUCCG